CCUGGCUACUCCAUUUCCAUAGCUUUGCGGACCCAGAAAAGGAGGAAAAAGACCGCCGGCCGGCGGUGCGGCAGUGUGGAGACCUGCCGUAAACCCGUCAGGGUUCUGCUCCCGGACGGGAAGGCCCUCUCGCGGAGGCGGGACGGCCACGGCCAAGCUGAUAUGGC
rnacentral:ncRNA from 1 species